CAUUAUUUUCCGCUCUAGUCUGUAGUAUGAGUCGCAUGCCAAGGCAGGCUUUUGCAAACGCUUCAAUGACCGCUCGCCCAGUCGCGCUGUCGCAUCUAAAAGUCGUUAUGCUCGACGUUGCGAUUAUUGCCAGUGAGAACUGAUCUCCGCAGAAAUUUAUUCCGCAGCAAGAUUUCGGCGAAAUCAUUGCGAAACAAUCAGACAAGGCUCGUUUAAAGUUAGAGUUAAUCCUCGCAGAAAUUUAUUAUGCAGCAAGACUCCGGC